ACUACGGGAGGCAGCAGUGAGGAAUAUUGGUCAAUGGACGAGAGUCUGAACCAGCCAAGUAGCGUGAAGGAUGACUGCCCUAUGGGUUGUAAACUUCUUUUAUCUGGGAAUAAAACGUUCCACGUGUGGGAUUUUGUAUGUACCAUAUGAAUAAGAAUCGGCUAACUCCGUGCCAGCAGCCGCGGUAAUCCGGGUGAUCCGAGCGUUAUCCGGAUUUAGUGGGUUUAAAGGGAGCGUAGGUGGAUUGUUAAGGCAGUUGUGAAAGGUUGCGGCUCAAACGUAAAAUUGCAGUUGAAACUGGCAGUCGUGAGUACAGUAGAGGUGGGCGGAAUUCGUGGUGUAGCGGUGACAUGCUUAGAUAGCACGAAGAACGCCGAUUGCGAAGGCAGUUCACUGGACUGCAACUGACACUGAGGCUCGAAAGUGUGGGUAUCAAACAGGAUUAGAUACCCUUGUAGUC
rnacentral:rRNA from 1 species